rnacentral:rRNA from 1 species
GAUGAACGCUGGCGGCGUGCUUAACACAUGCAAGUCGAACGGUGAACACGGAGCUUGCUCUGUGGGAUCAGUGGCGAACGGGUGAGUAACACGUGAGCAACCUGCCCCUGACUCUGGGAUAAGCGCUGGAAACGGCGUCUAAUACUGGAUAUGUGACGUGACCGCACGGUCUGCGUUUGGAAAGAUUUUUCGGUUGGGGAUGGGCUCGCGGCCUAUCAGCUUGUUGGUGAGGUAAUGGCUCACCAAGGCGUCGACGGGUAGCCGGCCUGAGAGGGUGACCGGCCACACUGGGACUGAGACACGGCCCAGACUCCUACGGGAGGCAGCAGUGGGGAAUAUUGCACAAUGGGCGCAAGCCUGAUGCAGCAACGCCGCGUGAGGGAUGACGGCCUUCGGGUUGUAAACCUCUUUUAGCAGGGAAGAAGCGAAAGUGACGGUACCUGCAGAAAAAGCGCCGGCUAACUACGUG